rnacentral:rRNA from 1 species
AUUGAACGCUGGCGGCAGGCCUAACACAUGCAAGUCGAACGAGUGGCGGACGGGUGAGUAAUGUCUGGGAAACUGCCCGAUGGAGGGGGAUAACUACUGGAAACGGUAGCUAAUACCGCAUACUAUCGGAUGUGCCCAGAUGGGAUUAGCUGGUAGGUGAGGUAAUGGCUCACCUAGGCGACGAUCCCUAGCUGGUCUGAGAGGAUGACCAGCCACACUGGAGCUGAGACACGGUCCAGACUCCUACGGGAGGCAGCAGUGGGGAAUAUUGCACAAUGGGCGCAAGCCUGAUGCAGCCAUGCCGCGGGUAUGAAGAAGGCCUUCGGGUUGUAAAGUACUUUCAGCGGGGAGGCGUUACCCGCAGAAGAAGCACCGGCUAACUCCGUGCCAGCAGCCGCGGUAAUAC